GAGUUUGAUCAUGGCUCAGAUUGAACGCUGGCGGCAUGCCUUACACAUGCAAGUCGAACGGCAGCACGGGAGCAAUCCUGGUGGCGAGUGGCGAACGGGUGAGUAAUACAUCGGAACGUGUCCUGUAGUGGGGGAUAGCCCGGCGAAAGCCGGAUUAAUACCGCAUACGAUCUGUGGAUGAAAGCGGGGGCUCCUUCGGGACCUCGCGCUACAGGGGCGGCCGAUGGCAGAUUAGCUAGUUGGUGGGGUAAAGGCCUACCAAGGCGACGAUCUGUAGCUGGUCUGAGAGGACGACCAGCCACACUGGGACUGAGACACGGCCCAGACUCCUACGGGAGGCAGCAGUGGGGAAUUUUGGACAAUGGGCGAAAGCCUGAUCCAGCAAUGCCACGUGUGUGAAGAAGGCCUUCGGGUUGUAAAGCACUUUUGUCCGGAAAGAAAACCUCGUGGUU
rnacentral:rRNA from 1 species